AAACCAUGAUGUGGUCAUUUGGUUUGAUAGCCUUUGAAUCCUUCCAAGUUUUUCUGUUGGAAACUGGAGAUCUCAUUUCUCAGCUU
rnacentral:snoRNA from 1 species